rnacentral:misc_RNA from 1 species
GGAAAAUGAACUUUGGGUGCGUUCUAUGGUGACUUUCUUUUUAUUCACUACCAUUAGAUGCGCCACGACUAAUUCAUCAUCAAUGGUGGUUAUCUACAAAGUUGGAUUUAUUUUGUUAAAGACAAUGUAAACAUAACUGCAAUAAGGGAGAAUGCAGGGUUUACAAUUCUGUUAAAAUUUCACUGAUGAAUUUCUUUUUCUUAUUUUUUGCUAUUUAAAAUAUCAAAGAACUUGCAUUUCCCCUUGAUAUCUAAAAAUGAGGAAUUCAAAAUUCGAAGCUAUUCUUUUCCUCAUAGUUCUAACAAUCAAAAUAUUAAAAAUGAAAAGCUCAACUUUUUAAA